rnacentral:misc_RNA from 1 species
AACUUUCGGCAAUGGAUCUCUUGGCUCUCGCAUCGAUGAAGAACGCAGCGCAAUGCGAUAAGUAAUGUGAAUUGCAGAAUUCAGUGAAUCAUCGAAUCUUUGAAAGCACCUUGCACCCUUUGGAAUUCCGAAGGGGAUGCUCGUUUGAGUGUCAUUGUACUCUCACACUCUCUGAUCCUUUGGAUUCGGGGAGCGGUGGACUUGGGUGUUUGCUGCUCUCUUCCUUGCGGCUCACCUCAAAUUCGUUAGUGCACCUCCUGGUUGGACAUAGUACGGCGUGAUAAGUGUCUUCGCCGGCGCCUCGCAAGAGGGUGGCCGAUCGAGAGCUCUGUGCUUUCAAACCGUCUUCGGACAACAUCUGACAACUUGACCUCAAAUCGAGUAGGACUACCCGCUGAACUUAAGCAUAUCAAUAAGCGGAGGAU